UGACUUUAAGGAAACUGGAAAUUGUGC
rnacentral:piRNA from 1 species